rnacentral:rRNA from 1 species
AGACGAUCAGAUACCGUCGUAGUCUUAACUAUAAACUAUGCCGACUAGGGAUCGGACGAUGUUAUUCUUUGACGCGUUCGGCACCUUUCGAGAAAUCAAAGUGCUUGGGCUCCAGGGGGAGUAUGGUCGCAAGGCUGAAACUUAAAGAAAUUGACGGAAGGGCACCACCAGGGGUGGAACCUGCGGCUUAAUUUGACUCAACACGGGGAAACUCACCAAGUCCAGACACAGUGAGGAUUGAGAGAUUGAGAGCUCUUUCUUGAUUCUGUGGGUGGUGGUGCAUGGCCGUUCUUAGUUGGUGGAGGGAUUUGUCUGCUUAAUUGCGAUAACGAACGAGACCUUACCCUGCUAAAUAGCCCGUACUGCUUUGGCAGUUCGCCGGCUUCUUAGAGGGACUAUCGGAUCAAGCCGAUGGAAGUUUGAGGCAAUAACAGGUCUGUGA